CAGCCCCCGGGGACGCGCCCGGGAGCGGAGCCGGCGGGCCGGGGCGGGGGGGCCGCCAGCUCCGAAACCGUUAGGUUGUCUCCUACGGUUCCUCUCCCCUUGCUCUUCCUGUCCAAAUAUUUUUAAAUUUACGCGCCUUAAAUAACAGUCUGAUUUUAUUUAUUUAGUUUCCUCCGCGGGCUCUGCCGCCGCUUUCGCUCUGAUCCCCGGCGGGAGGGGCCUCAGGGCGGCCGCCGGCCCGCGGAGAGCUCCGCGUCUGCCCGCGGAAAGUUCCGCGCCCGCCGCGGACCGGCCGCCGCCUCCCUCCGCGACUCCGCCGCUGCCGUUCCGCUCAACUUGCACUGCGCCUUCCCCCCCCCUUUCUUUUUUUUUUUCUGUUUUCCCCUCCCUUGCCUUUUCUCCCUCUUUCUCCCUGCAGCGCGGCUGGAGCCUCCUCAGCAUGACUCCGAUGCCGUCGCAGCCCCUCAGCCGCAUAAAAGUGAAGUCUAAGGAUAGAAGAAAAACUGGCCUGGCAACAUGAUCAAUGAACCACAAAGCAGCCCUCAAAGAGAAAAAGCAGCAGGAAGUUCUUUCAUACCAGAUGUUAAGGUACUGUCUCCUUCCUGGCUGUGCUGAAGUUUGGGUUUUUUCAACGUGAUUAAGGCUGUGGCACCACCUUGUGGACAUUGCUACGCAGGGAUGAGAAGCUCGCCCAUGGCAGCAAAAGCAACUGAAGUAGAGAGCAGGCGCUUUGGGUAAACGGUUCUUCACACCUGGUUUGCUAAAGCAGAGUAAAACAACUCAGUUUUUGAAAAAUCCUAAAAAAAUCUACCUACAAGAACAAAAUGUUUCAUAAAUACUGCCGGCGGUGCACCCAGAUGUCUCUGCAGUUUCCAUCAACUCUUUUGAACCUCAGGCAAGGAGGACAGCAGCCUUCAGAACUUGUUUUGUUCCUUCUUGAUUGACUAACAGGCAGCCUCUGUCUGAACAGAGGAAUGAGCUGCCCAGGCGGUUGAGUCACCCACCCUAGCAUGAAGUGAAGGUGGAGCAGAAGAUGAACUUGGACCAAGUUCCUCCCCUUUUGGAUUGCCAGUUGCCUGCUGAACUCUUGCCUGGAGGUCACAUGCACUAACUCUGCUGGGGAUUGAACAGUUUCUCAUAGAGGCACAGAGCCCUCAUUUCAUGAGCCCUCUUCAAACAUGGACCUGUGCCUCCCACACACUGCAAGCCUUUUGUCUAAUACUGACUCUCCCCAUACUCUCCUUAGUAGUAUAGGAAAGUUCACCCAUUUGGAGCAUUUCCAUUUCUAGUUUAACUCUUUGACAAAUAUGUAACUGUAAGGCAUGGAAACUCUGCAGCCCUCAACUGAGAAAAUUGAGCUUCUGAGUAGCUGUCCCAGUUGAUUCUGUAACUUUUCCCCUCCCUUUGUCAAUAUCUCUUUUUAAAUAAAGUUUGCACAGGUUUAUUUCUUCUUCUUCUGGAUUUAUGUGCCUCCACAAACUCUUUCCAGUGCAUCAUUACAGAGAUAGUAAUAAAACUAGAAAAUAGAUAGAAAAAACCCCACAUGCUUUUGGCUGAUAUUCUGAAACUGCACCACAACAGCCUACUGCCCUCAUGCCAUUUCUAACUGAAACAGAGCAUUACAGCAAACAUCAGUGUUCACGAAAUUGAAAGAGAUAAUAAAUACAAGCAGUUAAAAUUUUA